rnacentral:rRNA from 1 species
AGAGUUUGAUCAUGGCUCAGAACGUACGCUGGCGGCACGCCUAACACAUGCAAGUCGAACGAAGUAGCAAUACUUAGUGGCAGACGGGUGAGUAACAUGUGGGUAUCUACCCUUUGGCCUAGAAUAACACGAGGAAACUUGUGCUAAUACUGGAUAAGUCUUAACGGAGAAAGCUUUAUGCACCAUUGGAUGAGCCCGCACUUGAUUAGUUUGUUGGUGGGGUAAUGGCCUACCAAGACUGUGAUCAAUAGCUGAUUUGAGAGGAUGAUCAGCCACAUUGGGACUGAGACACGGCCCAAACUCCUACGGGAGGCAGCAGUGGGGAAUCCUGCACAAUGGAGGAAACUCUGAUGCAGCGAUGCCGCGUGAGUGAAGAAGGCCCUUGGGUUGUAAAGCUCUUUCGUCGGGGAAGAAAAUGACUGUACCCGAAUAAGAAGGUCCGGCUAACUUCGUGCCAGCAGCCGCGGUAAUACGAAGGGACCUAGCGUAGUUCGGAAUUACUGGGCUUAAAGAGUUCGUAGGUGGUUGAAAAAGUUGGUGGUGAAAUCCCAGAGCUUAACUCUGGAACUGCCAUCAAAACUUUUCAGCUAGAGUUUGAUAGAGGAAAGCAGAAUUUCUAGUGUAGAGGUGAAAUUCGUAGAUAUUAGAAAGAAUACCAAUUGCGAAGGCAGCUUUCUGGAUCAUUACUGACACUGAGGAACGAAAGCAUGGGUAGCGAAGAGGAUUAGAUACCCUCGUAGUCCAUGCCGUAAACGAUGUGUGUUAGACGUUGGAAAUUUAUUUUCAGUGUCGCAGCGAAAGCGAUAAACACACCGCCUGGGGAGUACGACCGCAAGGUUAAAACUCAAAUGAAUUGACGGGGACCCGCACAAGUAGUGGAGCAUGUGGG